rnacentral:rRNA from 1 species
UACAGAGGUCCCGAGCGUUGUUCGGAUUCAUUGGGCGUAAAGGGUGCGUAGGUGGCGCUGUAAGUGGGGUGUGAAAUCCCGGGGCUUAACUCCGGAACUGCAUUCCAUACUGCGGUGCUUGAGGACUGGAGAGGAGACUGGAAUUUACGGUGUAGCAGUGAAAUGCGUAGAGAUUGUAAGGAAGACCAGUGGCGAAGGCGGGUCUCUGGACAGUUCCUGACACUGAGGCACGAAGGCCAGGGGAGCAAACGGG